CACCGCUUAAAGCCUUCGUGACCCCCCGCUCCACUGGAUCCCGUUGGCCCGUCUGGAGAAGAACCGCAGCAGAACCCCUCUGCUGCCCGAGCCCACCUCCAUGGACAUGCUUUAUGAACAGCUCAAAGAGAAGCUCUCCCUCCACAGGCACAGUGUUCAGGGGGCGAAGCCGGGUCUGUACGUGGGGAUCCUGAAGCUGUGCAGCUCCGUGGAACAGAUCCGGGUUCUGGUUCCUCAGAGGCUGCCCAACCUGCUCUGCCACACCCGGGUCCGACACAACGCACACGUCUCCAG